rnacentral:rRNA from 1 species
GACGAACGCUGGCGGCGUGCCUAAUACAUGCAAGUCGAACGCUUCUUUCCUCCCGAGUGCUUGCACUCAAUUGGAAAGAGGAGUGGCGGACGGGUGAGUAACACGUGGGUAACCUACCCAUCAGAGGGGGAUAACACUUGGAAACAGGUGCUAAUACCGCAUAACAGUUUAUGCCGCAUGGCAUAAGAGUGAAAGGCGCUUUCGGGUGUCGCUGAUGGAUGGACCCGCGGUGCAUUAGCUAGUUGGUGAGGUAACGGCUCACCAAGGCCACGAUGCAUAGCCGACCUGAGAGGGUGAUCGGCCACACUGGGACUGAGACACGGCCCAGACUCCUACGGGAGGCAGCAGUAGGGAAUCUUCGGCAAUGGACGAAAGUCUGACCGAGCAACGCCGCGUGAGUGAAGAGGGUUUUCGGAUCGUAAAACUCUGUUGUUAGAGAAGAACAAGGACGUUAGUAACUGAACGUCCCCUGACGGUAUCUAACCAGAAAGACACGGCUAACUACGUG